rnacentral:rRNA from 1 species
UACAGAGGCCUCAAGCGUUACCCGGAAUCACUGGGCGUAAAGGGUGUGUAGGCGGCGAUGUUAGUCUUCCGUAAAAGACUCGGGGCUUAACCCAGAGGAUGCGGAGGAAACGGCAUUGCUUCGAGGGCGCGAGAGGUGAAUGGAACUCAUGGUGUAGGGGUGAAAUCCGUUGAUAUCAUGGGGAACACCAAAUGCGAAGGCAAUUCACUGGCGCGUUCCUGACGCUGAGACACGAAAGCGUGGGUAGCGAAAAGG